CAGCGCCAUGAGUGGCAAUCAGAAUUAUUGGGCCUAAAGCGUCCGUAGCCGGUUUGAUAAGUCUUUUGUGAAAUCGUUGUGCUUAACAUAACGUUGUGCAAGAGAUACUGUCUAACUUGGAACCGGGAGGAGUCAGAGGUAUUCUAAGGGGAGCGGUAAAAUGCUAUAAUCCUUGGAGGACCACCUGUGGCGAAAGCGUCUGACUAGAACGGCUUCGACGGUGAGGGACGAAAGCCAGGGGAGCAAACCGGAUUAGAGACCCGAGUAGUCC
rnacentral:rRNA from 1 species